UCUCUCUGGUCUCUCACAGCUCUCAACCAUCUGAGAGACUGAGACAGAGAGAGAGAGAGAGAAAUGAGUGUUCGAAUUUGCAACUUCCCGUCCCAUCCAAGCUUCUUGCUGCAACCCCGCUCCCAAUCCCAAACCGCCGCGAGGUCUACACGUAUCUUCGCUCGUACGGAGAAUGAGUCAUCGCGGUCCGAUCAGCAACAGCUCAAUCUCUCCGUCCUCCGCUUCACUUUCGGGAUUCCUGGUCUAGACGAAUCUUAUCUACCGAGGUGGAUCGGGUACGGAUUCGGAUCGCUUAUUCUCCUCAAUCACUUCUCAGCUUCACCUCCAAUCAGCGAAUCGCAGCUGAGAUCAGAGGCUUUAGGGUUAUCACUUGCUGCCUUCUCAACAGCUUUACCUUACUUUGGCAAGUUCCUCAAGGGUACUGAAGUGGAGAAGAGAAGCUUACCUGAAGAGGGAGAGCAGGUUUUUGUGAUAUCAUCAAGUAUUGGAGACUCUUUGAAGGAGGAUUUGGCUUGGUCAACUUAUGUUUUGUUGAGGAAUACAAGUACCGUAGCUGUGAUGAUAUCGAUUCAAGGUGAGCUUUGCGUUCGUGGGUACUGGAACUGCCCUGGUCAAAUGUCAAAGGCUCAACUACACGACUGGUUCAAGAGAAAGACUGAUGAGAUAGGCCUGGCUGAUGUUAAGGAGACUCUUUAUUUCCCUCAGUAUGCAGGUUCUGGAUUGUCGUGGGAUGUUCUUCCUGAUGGGACGCGUUCUGUUUUUGUGCAACCUCUGCUACGAAAUGUAAAUGAAUCGGAGAAAGUGGAUGGGUUUUUGAUGGUGGCUUCUACUGCUGGAUAUGCAUAUAGCGAUAAAGAUAGAGCCUGGAUUGGAGCCAUGGCUGAUAAAUUCAGAGGAUGACAUGAGCUACAAGAAUCUUGAUUGAUAAUUGUAACAUUUGACUCGUAUCUUGAUUGAUGACUGGCGGAACACUUCAGUUCCUACAGGAAUUUCUCGAGGCCAUAAACCAAAUUCUGUAAAACCAAAAAGAGAACAAGGACAAGAAGUCAUUAAAUAAAACUUCUGGAGAAGGAAGAUCCUGCAUUUCAUAGUGGAAGGAAGCCAUGAUCACAGCCUGCUGGAGAAGUAUAGAUCCUAUGGACAGAGUUGGUGCUACAAGGCAUCCCUUAUAACGCAAACCAACCAGGGAGAAGUUAGAUUAACAUGGGCCAUUUAAGGUCUAACAGUUGUUGCUCCAAGACAAGCUCGACCUCACAAAGAAAAGAAAACAACAAAACGAAUUUGCUGAGAGUAUCUCACCCUGUGCUCACCAUGGUGGCCUUGUCACAUAAUGCAGACAACGCUGAUACUGUCUCUGGCUUGAUCCUAGGUUGUUCCGUAGAAGUUACUCUGGUGGGAAACAAUAGAGAAGGAAAGGUUUGGAAAUAAUGGAACCUGAGAUAUGGAGCCUAAGACCAUUGUUAGAUCACUCACUACUGGUAUCUCUAGAGGCUCCUCCAUGUCACAUAGCUAAAGGAACAUUUAGAGUUAAAGGAGUCGAGUCAAAUAGAUAAACCAAAACCAGGUGGAAGUAAUAUGCAGAUGUGUUGUGAGUUAAGUCACCAAGCCAAUAUCUUCGCCAAGAAAAUGGUUGUCGACGGCACCAGCUAACUCCAUUCCCCUGGCUUUAGUCACAGCAACCACAGCGGCUCUUCCUAUCUCUUUUGCAGCUCCGUUUAUGAUUACCUGAUAUUGACAUUUGUAGCAUUUUGAUCUCAAGCUGCACUAUAUGGAAACUCUUGACGAUGAUGGUGAUAAUGUGUAGUUUACCUUUAUGUUGUUUUGGGAAGGUUGUGAGGCGGAGCAAGAAAAAGAAGGCCUUGAGGGUUUGAGAUGUCGUGAAUGUGAUAGCUUGAAGAAGAGGCAGUUCACCGCUGCCAUUGCUCUAACCUCUCUGAUAACUUUUUUUUUGGGCUUGUGGUUUCCUCUGCCUUUGAUGUUGAUAAGAGUUUUUGCACUUGUUGUCAGCUAUUUUAAAACGAUGUAGUUUUUGUGGCUUCUGGAUGGAUAAGGUUUUGGGUCUUACGAUAGUUCACUCUGACUCUUAAUUUAUUUUUAAUAAAAUGAAUUUAUUUUUUA